rnacentral:rRNA from 1 species
CGGCGAGUGAAGCGGCAACAGCUCAAAUUUGAAAUCUGGAGCCUUUCGGCUUCCGAGUUGUAAUUUGAAGAGGAUGUUUCGGUGCGACCUGGGCCUAAGUUCCUUGGAACAGGACGUCAUGGAGGGUGAGAAUCCCGUACAUGGCUGCAGGUUUGCUUCUAUGUGAAACUCCUUCGAAGAGUCGAGUUGUUUGGGAAUGCAGCUCAAAAUGGGUGGUAAAUUUCAUCUAAAGCUAAAUAUUGGCGGGAGACCGAUAGCGCACAAGUAGAGUGAUCGAAAGAUGAAAAGCACUUUGAAAAGAGAGUUAAACAGUACGUGAAAUUGUUGAAAGGGAAGCGCUUGCAAUCAGACUCGCCUUCAGUUGAUCAGCCUUCCUUCUGGUUGGUGCACUCUGCUGUUGGCGGGCCAGCAUCAGUUGGGGCGGUGGGACAAAGGCGGCAGGAAUGUGGCUCGCUUCGGUGAGUGUUAUAGCCUGCUGCGUCAUGCCACCAGCCCCGAUUGAGGUCCG